rnacentral:rRNA from 1 species
AUUGAACGCUGGCGGCAGGCCUAACACAUGCAAGUCGAGCGGAUGAAGGGAGCUUGCUCCUGGAUUCAGCGGCGGACGGGUGAGUAAUGCCUAGGAAUCUGCCUGGUAGUGGGUGAUAACGACCGGAAACGGGUGCUAAUACCGCAUACGUCCUGAGGGUGAAAGUGGGGGAGCUUCGGACCUCACGCUAUCAGAUGAGCCUAGGUCGGAUUAGCUAGUUGGUGGGGUAAAGGCCUACCUAGGCGGCCAUCCGUAACUGGACUGAGAGGAUGAUAAGUCACACUGGAGGGUGGACACGGACCUGACGACUAAGAGAGGGCGCAGUGGGGUAUAGGAGGCAGUGGGCGGAAGCAUGGUACAGCCAUGGCGAGUGUGUGAAGAAGAUGUUCGGAUUGUAAAGCAGUCUAAGGGGGGGGGAAGGGCAGUAAGUUAAUACCUUGCUUGAGUGACGUUAAUAGCAAAAGAAGCACCGGCUAACUACGUG